rnacentral:lncRNA from 1 species
GAGGAGUGGAGGCCGGUGGAGGGGGGCUGUCUUUGUGUGUAUGAAUGAGGCCUUGUGGGCAGGGCCCCUGCCCUGCUGCUUCUGGGAAGGCCCCACGUCUGUCAGCUGCCAGAAGUGGCUACCCCACCACCGCCAAGCAGCUGAGGGGUCCUCAUAAUGGCUUUGCUGUGGUUUCCUAAGACAUCUGGCUGCACGGCGCCGCAGGCCGCAGAGGGGGCCUGAUGACACUGGGAGGCCAUGGCUGCCAUCUUGCCAGCUCUUUGGAGCCGCCAUGAAACUAUGGUUCGUCCUCAUGUUCAGGCACUGAGAAGGCAGGUGGCUGGGACUGUUGGCCUGGGCAGGGAGUGCUCUGUCUGCUUCUCCACUUCCAGACCCAAAGCUCAACUCGGAGUCUCGUCCUGAGAUAAUGUCCAUGUGCUCCUUGCGCUCCUGCCCCCAUUCCUCCAGCCACCCCACACCAGUGGGUUUUCCCGUGAGGGUGCCCCCACCCCCCUUUGACUGCCUCCUGGGCAGUCUGGACAUCGGGGACCCCCUGGGGGAACCCUGGUGCCUUGUGGGGGCGGUGGGGGGGCAUGGUGUCACCCACACCAUCAACACCGUGGCUGUGAAAACAGGACAGGACGGGGGUGGGCUGGGUGAGCCAUUCCUGGGAAAAUAGAUGUCUUUGUUUGCGUUCUUAAAAUUAGACCACUGUGUUCUGCCCGUAGGUGUGAUGGAGCCGUGUUCUCUUCUCUCCCCCCUCCUCAUGGUCCUAGAGCUCUGCACACAGUGGCACACACGCGCCGGCCAUCACAUUCCCUGUGGGCACACGUGUGCACCCAGACACACUCAGACACGUGCAUAU